CCCGCCAUAGGGGUUCGAAUCCCCACCCCGCACUCAUUUGCUCACCCCGCACUCUUUUUCCGCAAAAAAGAGUUCAUGUUCUUCUCCCGCGGGACUCCCUUGAAUCGGCAUCGGCAAACCCCUCCCAAAUAUGAUGUCGUUCCAGCCGACCUAAGCUGCCGUGAAGCACGCCACCCGCCGAGGCCUCCGGCCGCCGUAACGUGCGAUCACCACAGCCUCCGGAAUUUCUCCUCCGCAGGGGCAGGUGUGUCCUGCGGCCGGGCACGUAACUCGCGCCCGCCGCCGCCUUCAGCAGCAGCCGUGAGCAGGGCUAGGGGCGUCCUGCGGCCGGGCACGUCGCGGCCGUGACCCGGGCCAGGGUGUCUUGCGGCUGGGCCCGUAACGCGCGACAGCCAUCGCCUCCGGUCGCCACCGCCGCCACCACGGCCGGGGUGCGGCCUCCCGCGGCUGCCAUAAGCAGGGCCUCCCGUGACGUCUGCGGACUCCGGCCACCAUGACGCGCCGCCGGAGUCUCAGAAGAUCCGAUGCCGGCCCACCCUCCACGGUUCUGAUUUGAUUUCUUACGUUUCUGAUUCAUGGUUUCAGGCUAAUGGGGAUUCAAUUUUUUUUCUGAUUCUGUUUCAUGAUUUCCCUACUUUUAUAUUUAUAAUUCUGUUUCAUGGAUUCAGUACUAUUGGGUAAAUGCAAACUGAUCGGUACACUUCAUGUGACUAACAAUAGUCAGAAUUUGAGUGUGUUUGUCUGAACAAAAAUAGAAACUCACUUAUUUUUUCUAAAUUAUUGUUUAGGGUAUCUAGUGGUCUAUGGAUGAUAACCUUUACGGAAUAUUGGACCGGAUCGUCUCUGUCUGAUAUUGUAACUCAGGAUGAUAUCACAAAUUUCAGGUUUAAGCUACCUGCAAUCUUGUGGGAUUCAAGAUUAAACACAAAAAAAGGAUAUCAACAACCUGAACAAACAAAUAAAGUCAUAGACAAUCCAAGUGAUAUUGAAAUUAUCUAUGCACUGGAUGAGUGAUCUAAACCGCCAAAUGCAUCACAACAAAUGGAAUCAGAUGCAUCUCCAAAUGUUCUUUCUAGUAGAGUAAGAUCGAUAAACAUGCAAGAACUAUUGUACAUUUUAAGCAACUACAUCAUGUCGAUGGACAGUAAUGCUGAAAUUUUACAGAAAGAGUGGAUUAGGAGCACCAAGCCAUAUCCAAUUUCUUUAAGUUUGAAAAAACUUAAAGAUAUAUUAAAUGUAAAUAAGCCAAUGGAUCCUGAUUGCUUCAACAUGGCUGUUCGGAUGCUCACAUGCAAUGAGGCCUUAUUGUGGUGUGAAGAAAAAUACCACUACAUGGACCUACAAUUCUGUUCCAUAUCUGAUUUGCUCGAGACCUGCGCUAUUGUGCAAGGCUCGAUAUCAACCAGUUGGCAAAAUUAUUUGAAUGUUGGUCCAACAUGGAGUAUGACAUUUCACACUGCAGCAAUAUUCUAUUACCCUACAAUUUCUUGGGUCAUUUCACAUUAUUCAUACUUAACAUGGAUACUAGAAGUGUCUAUAUAAUGGACCCAAUGCCUUUACCAGCAUGGUUUAAGUGUUCUGAUUCAACAUUAUGUAUAAUGGACACAAUGCCUUGUAAUUGAUGACUACUUUCACCAUUGAUUCAUGGUACAAA